UUGAAUUUGGUUGAUGAUCUUGGUGGAAUUUUUGGAGAGGGUUUAGAGAGAGUUUUUGGAUGUUUUGAAGUUAAAUGACUAAGUAUGGAUAUGUCCCCUUUUUAUAAAAAACGUCCCAACACUUAGAAAAAAAAUUGAGGCGGGUGAACAGUGUUUUCGGCUACUGGAAUUUGCAUUUUCUGCCGGACAGGUUUUACGAAAAUGGUCAUAACUCCUUCAUCCUAACUCGGAAUGAGGUGAAACAAAUUGCGUUGGAAAGC
rnacentral:lncRNA from 1 species